CUGGCAUUCUGUGAAGGAUCCAUUAGAGUGACUAAGAGGAAAGGAAUUGAGAAAUUUCACUUCAGAUUGAAGAAAAGGCAACUGCAGGAGUGAGGCUGGGGGCAACCCUAACUUCUGAAAGAAUAUCAUUUCCCUGGCCAGACCAGAAAGAGUCUUACGGAAUUUUCAAGAAUGAAGAAAAACAAUCCUGCUGGCAUUUAGAGUUCAUUUUUCAAUGAAUCACUUUGGAGGAAACCAUGUUUGGAGUUGAGAUUGGAGAUGAAAUGGCAUGCUUGAUUCCUGUUUGGACAAAAAUAACUAUCGGAGAGGAAGUCGACCUUGAAUGACACUGAAAAGCAGGAAAAUGAAGCAUAAACUGUCAGGUGGAGAAUACAGUAGCAAGACAGAGAGAUCUCCAGGGCACGAUCUGCUGGGAACUUGCUGAGUUGACUGGGAUUAAGAAAUGUGUUUUAAAUCACCCUCCUCUUCUAGCAGGAAAAGUAUACUAACAAGUAUGGAGCAAA